rnacentral:rRNA from 1 species
GUGGGGAAUAUUGGACAAUGGGCGAAAGCCUGAUCCAGCCAUGCCGCGUGUGUGAAGAAGGUCUUCGGAUUGUAAAGCACUUUAAGUUGGGAGGAAGGGCAGUAAGUUAAUACCUUGCUGUUUUGACGUUACCGACAGAAUAAGCACCGGCUAACUUCGUGCCAGCAGCCGCGGUAAUACGAAGGGUGCAAGCGUUAAUCGGAAUUACUGGGCGUAAAGCGCGCGUAGGUGGUUUUGUAAGUUGGAGGUGAAAUCCCCGGGCUCAACCUGGGAACUGCCUCCAAAACUGCAUGACUAGAGUACGGUAGAGUGUAGUGGAAUUUCCUGUGUAGCGGUGAAAUGCGUAGAUAUAGGAAGGAACACCAGUGGCGAAGGCGACUACCUGGACUGAUACUGACACUGAGGUGCGAAAGCGUGGGGAGCAAACAGGAUUAGAAACCCUAGUAGUCC